rnacentral:rRNA from 1 species
GACGGGGGGGGCAAGUGUUCUUCGGAAUGACUGGGCGUCAAGGGCACGUAGGCGGCCAUACAGGUCCGUUGUGAAAACUGGAGGCUUAACCUCCAGACGUCGAUGGAAACCGUAUGGCUAGAGUCCGGAAGAGGAGAGUGGAAUUCCUGGUGUAGCGGUGAAAUGCGCAGAUAUCAGGAAGAACACCCGUGGCGAAGGCGGCUCUCUGGGACGGUACUGACGCUGAGACGCGAAAGCGUGGGGAGCGAACAGG